CCUACGGGUGGCAGCAGUGGGGAAUAUUGGGCAAUGGAGGCAACUCUGACCCAGCAACGCCGCGUGAGUGAUGAAGGUCCUCGGAUUUUAAAACUCUUUAAGUGGGGACGAAGAAAGUGACGGUACCCACAGAAUAAGCCUCGGCUAACUACGUGCCAGCAGCCGCGGUAAUACGUAGGAGGCAAGCGUUAUCCGGAAUGACGGGGCGUAAAGGGUGCGUAGGUGGUUCGGCAAGUUAGUAGCGUAAUUCCGGGGCCCAACCUCGGAACGACUACUAAAACUGUUGGGAGUGGGUGCGGGAGGGGCAUAUGGAAUUCCGAGUGUAGCGGUGGAAUGCGUAGAUAUUAGGAAGAACCCCGGUGGCGAAGGCGAUAUGCUGGACUGUAACUGACACUGAGGCACGAAAGCGUGGGGAGCGAACAGGAUUAGAUACCCUUGUAGUC
rnacentral:rRNA from 1 species